rnacentral:rRNA from 1 species
AGGAAUAUUGGUCAAUGGCCGGAAGGCUGAACCAGCCAUGCCGCGUGAAGGUCAGUGCCCUAUGGGCGUUAAACUUCUUUUGUGCGGGAGCAAUAAGGUCCACGUGUGGGCCGACGAGAGUACCGUACGAAUAAGCAUCGGCUAACUCCGUGCCAGCAGCCGCGGUAAUACGGGGGAUGCAAGCGUUAUCCGGAUUUAUUGGGUUUAAAGGGUGCGUAGGCUGUGAGGUAAGUCAGCGGUGAAAUGCCCCCGCUCAACGGGGUGAAGUGCCAUUGAUACUGCCUUGCUGGAAUGCGGAUGCCGUGGGAGGAAUGUGUGGUGUAGCGGUGAAAUGCAUAGAUAUCACGAAGAACUCCGAUUGCGAAGGCAGCUCACUGGACUGGUCACUGACACUGAGGCUCGAAAGUGUGGGUAUCAAACAGG